CUUACAUCUCUUCGGAGCAUUUUACGAGGUGCUGCCAUGGUUGGUCGUCAGCUCGUGUCGUCGAGAUGGUUGGGUUAAGUCCCGUUAACGAGCGCAACCCUUGUCCUUAGUUAACCAGCACGUUAUGGUGGGCACUCUAAGGAGACUGCCGGUGACAAACCGGAGGAAGGUGGGGAUGACGUCAAGUCAUCAUGGCCCUUACGGCCUGGGCUACACACGUGCUACAAUGGUCGGUACAAAGGGUUGCCAAGCCGCGAGGUGGAGCUAAUCCCAUAAAACCGAUCGUAGUCCGGAUCGCAGUCUGCAACUCGACUGCGUGAAGUCGGAAUCGCUAGUAAUCGUGAAUCAGAAUGUCACGGUGAAUACGUUCCCGGGCCUU
rnacentral:rRNA from 1 species